rnacentral:rRNA from 1 species
AGCGGUAACAGGGGGAGCUUGCUCCCCGCUGACGAGCGGCGGACGGGUGAGUAAUGCAUAGGAAACUGCCCAGUAGUGGGGGAUAGCCCGGGGAAACCCGGAUUAAUACCGCAUACGCCCUUUGGGGGAAAGCAGGGGAUCUUCGGACCUUGCGCUAUUGGAUGUGCCUAUGUCGGAUUAGCUAGUUGGUGGGGUAAGAGCCUACCAAGGCGACGAUCCGUAGCUGGUCUGAGAGGAUGAUCAGCCACAUCGGGACUGAGACACGGCCCGAACUCCUACGGGAGGCAGCAGUGGGGAAUAUUGGACAAUGGGGGCAACCCUGAUCCAGCCAUGCCGCGUGUGUGAAGAAGGCUUUCGGGUUGUAAAGCACUUUCAGUGAGGAGGAAAACCUUACGACUAAUACUCGUGAGGCUUGACGUUACU